rnacentral:rRNA from 1 species
UACGUAGGGUGCAAGCGUUAAUCGGAAUUACUGGGCGUAAAGCGUGCGCAGGCGGCUUUGCAAGACAGAUGUGAAAUCCCCGGGCUUAACCUGGGAACUGCAUUUGUGACUGCAUGGCUGGAGUGCGGCAGAGGGGGAUGGAAUUCCGCGUGUAGCAGUGAAAUGCGUAGAUAUGCGGAGGAACACCGAUGGCGAAGGCAGCCCCCUAGGCCAAUACUGACGCUCAGGCACGAAAGCGUGGGGAGCAAACAGG